CCUACGGGUGGCAGCAGUGAGGAAUUUUGGUCAAUGGCCGGAAGUCUGAACCAGCCAUGCCGCGUGAAGGUCAGUGCCCUAUGGGCGUUAAACUUCUUUUGUGCGGGAGCAAUAAUGGUCACGUGUGGCCAGACGAGAGUACCGUACGAAUAAGCAUCGGCUAACUCCGUGCCAGCAGCCGCGGUAAUACGGGUGAUGCAAUCGUUAUCCGGGUUUAUUGGGUUUAAAGGGUGCGUAGGCUGUGAGGAAAGUCAGCGGUGAAAUGCCGCCGCUCAACGGGGUGAAGUGCCAUUGAUACUGCCGUGCUGGAAUGCGGAUGAGGUGAGAGGAAUGUGUGGUGUAGCGGUGAAAUGCAUAGAUAUCACACAGAACACCGAUUGCGAAGGCAUCUCACGAAUCCGCGAUUGACGCUGAGGCACGAAAGCGUGGGUAUCAAACAGGAUUAGAUACCCUUGUAGUC
rnacentral:rRNA from 1 species